UGAGUAACCUGCCCUUAACUCUGGGAUAAGCCUGGGAAACUGGGUCUAAUACCGGAUAUGACUCCUCAUCGCAUGGUGGGGGGUGGAAAGCUUUUUGUGGUUUUGGAUGGACUCGCGGCCUAUCAGCUUGUUGGUGAGGUAAUGGCUCACCAAGGCGACGACGGGUAGCCGGCCUGAGAGGGUGACCGGCCACACUGGGACUGAGACUCGGCCCAGACUCCUACGGGAGGCAG
rnacentral:rRNA from 1 species